rnacentral:misc_RNA from 1 species
CAUCUUCACACGCUUGGAAUGAAGAAGGUCCUGGUACUGAACGGCGACUCGUACGUUGGCCGCCAUGUCGUGAGGGCCUUCCAUCAGUCGUACGAGUAUGAGGUCGAGAUCACGCGCACUCGCACUGGCGAACGAGCGGCGACAGCGGUGAAUGCGGUGAUGAGGGCGACCUCGAGUGACUGGCUGUGGGGCCAGAUGAAGGGCCUGUGGGACUCGCUCGAGAAGUCGCUGGUCGCCGCCGCGGCCGACGCCGCGGACGACUCUUCUGUCAUGGUCACAGGGGGAUCGCACCACAAAAGUACGCGGCAUGCUGCGCCCGCUGCUGGUGCGGCGCAGCUGCCUACAUCACUGCCACGCGCGGGCUUGUCUGCGGAGGAGCGAAAUACGUUACCGGCGGACAUCCAGUUUUGCGUGAGCAGCAUCGUUCCCAAGCACAACGACAACACGGAGGAGUUUCGGAAGCGUCUGCUCGCCAACGACGUCGUCAUUGCGGUCCUCCAGGACGACACGUACGAAGCCAUGUGUGCCAUUCGCAUUCUCGCUGGGACGCACUACGAUGUAGAGAAGACAUUUGUGCUGGUGUCAUCGGCCGUGACGUGGGCGUACACACUGACAUCAGAGCGCGCGCGUGCCCGUGCGAUGCGGCAGUGGGAGCGCGAGGAGGAGCGAAAUGCCUUCUUGGAGGAGCUCCUCGACGCUGAGGAUGAGGAGAACGACGACGGAGAUGCCCUCGGCGAGGGCGCUGCUGCCGUGGCGGAGAGAGAGGCGCGUCGUGCCGCACGUCGCAGAGAGCUAGAGCAGCGCCUCCCUCUCUCUCUGCGCGAGCCUGCCGCCGGCGAGGACGAGGCCGAGCUCCGCGAGCUUGUCCCGGACCGAGUCUUCACCGACGACGCCUACGCUCAGCGUGUGCCGCACCCGCGCUUUCAGCACUGGCACUCGCUGGAGCACCUCGUGAAGCGCUCCAACACCGAGACGCUGCACACCUACGUCGUCUUCGCUGGCCUCCCGUACGGCGCUGGCGAAGGGUCGGACAUGCUGUUCGGGCUCCUGCGCAGCGCCUGGCACCACCAGGUUCUGCCGCAGUACGGUGCCGGCGUGAAUGAGAUCCCCAUGAUCCACGUGCAGGACUUGGCCUCGAUCCUUUACAAGGUCGGCAGCGCCUACGACGUGCUUGGGGAGCGGUACAUGUUCGCCGUUGACCAGGGCCACAUCACGCAGCGGCAGUUGCUGCAAGCGGUGCAGGCGCGCUUUGGUGGGUCCGUGCAACCAGCUGUCGCGGUGUCCCCGUCAGUGGCCAACGCUACCGCAGUGGAUUUGGUGCGCCUCGAUCGGCUGGAGCUGCCGCCGCCGACCAGCCCUCAAGAGCUUUUCGCCGCGUUUGGCAACAAGCCGUGCUGGGGCGACGGCGGGGCUCUCUUGACCGCCCUAGUGCUCUCCGACAUCCAAGCGGAGCCCUCCACUGUGCUGACGAUGCACGCGGAGGAUGAUUGGGUAGCCCUCGAUGGCUUCCUUGCGACCCUUGAUGUGACAUGCGCGCAGUUCCGCGCUGCGCACGCAGAUGCAUUCAAGCCGAUCCGCGCCCUCAUCACCGGGCCACCGCUGAGCGGGGCGGAAACCGUUGCCGCUCUACUGGCGCAACGGUGCCGUGCGCCGUGCGUGUCGCGCGAAAACAUCGUUGCGGACUAUAAAGCGCACGUGGCAGAUGUACGCGCCGCGCUGCGGGGCCUGCUUAUGCGACGCCUACAGCGCCGUCGUGCCAGGGUGCAAGCUCGGCUGGUGCGUCAGGCAGCGGAGGAGAAGGCCGCUGGGCGCCUGGCAAAGGAGGAGCAGCGGCGCCAGAGGCGAGAGGAGCGGCAGCAGCGCGGCGACACAGACGAUGACAGCGGCGGCGAGGAAGAGCCGGACGAAGAGGGGGCGGCGACUGAGGGGGAGAGUGAGGUCGGCGGCGCGGCGUCUGGGGUGGUCUCCGGCGCAUCUCUGAUAUCUAUCUUUCUUCCAACGACCACCAAAAGCGCUGAUAGCGGCAGCGACGAUGAGGAGGAGGUCGCGACGCAGCCACAACAGCAGCAGCAGCCUCUGCGGCCUAUUGCGCUGGUUGUGAACGAGGCAUACAUCCGCGGUGCCGCCGACGCCGACGCCGACGGCGACGAGGAGGGCGGCGCCGGGAUCGAUGAGGAGCAAGAGGAGGAUGAUGAGGAGGAGGGCGGCAACUGGCUUGCACAGCUCGACGCACAGGAUGAGGCGGCGCAAGCAGAAAUGCAAGAGGACCGUGAACUGCUGCCUCCUGUGCCCCUCUCCGCCGCCGCGGGCGACGCAGCGCUGCCUUUACUAGCUCUACCGCCCUUUGCUGCCCGUAGCCGUGGCCGUGCCUUUGCGCGCGAUGUGGACCGGCAGGAGCUGCGGUGCAUCGCGGCGCUCCGUCAGGAGUACCUUCUCGGUCUGAAGGUGCUGGCGCUAAAGGUGUCGGCAGAGGGACGACUGCCACGUCCGCCGCCCACUCCAGCGGCGUCGGAGGACAACGGCGGAUACAACGACGAGGAUGGCCGCGGCAGCACCAGCGGUGGUAGCGACGAGGGCAGCGACGAGGGCAGCAGCCAGGACAGCGACGAGGAGGGGGAUGAGGAGGUGGCAAGUGAUGGCACGCUUCAGGCGUCGCCGGAGGGCAGAAACGACGCCGCCGAGGAGGACGAGGAAGAGGACGACGAUUACGAAUCGGCCGACCCCGGAGACGACACAAACCCGCUCCUCGCAAUCGACCCCGCUGACGAUAGCUCCGCAUACCUCGACUGCGCGCUCGCCUUCAUGUGCCGGUGGCGCCUGCGUCAGUCGGAUUGCCGCUGCCAAGGCUACAUCCUCAGUGACUUUCCGCAGACGCUAGCGCAGGCCGUCUUAUGCUUCCGCGCAAAUGGGGCGGAACUCGAGGAUGCCGAGCUGCGCCGCCAACGCGCUCUCGCCCCGCUGCUGGCACGCUCUGAUGACCACGCUGCGGAAGACUCAAGUGACGCGGACGGCGAGGACGACGGGGUUCUAGCCCCCAUCGAUGCGGAUUUUCCUCUGCCUGAUAUUGCCAACAUGGAGGAGGAGGAGCUGCUGGCGCUGGAGCGCGCUCAUCGCCGUGGCCGCGGUCCGGCAGGUUGCAACAGCGCCGUCGGUGAGGUGGAGUCGAUGGACGAUUUGACGGAGGGGGUGGCCGCCAGCGGCGACACGGAGACCGUAAUAGAGCCUGUGGAUGAGUCUCUCUUCGUAGAUCAUGUCGUGGCGCUCCAGGCCGACCCGGCUGUUUUGCGCGCCACGAUGGAUGCGCUACAGACAAACCUGGUUGUGGCUGCCGAGCAGCAGGCAUCAUCGACGUCUCAGAGCGGUGCGGCACCCUCCGCGCAGGGUGCGGCUGCCAUAGGGUCGGCAGAGGCGGCGCUUGCGGCGCUUCGCGCCUCGCUGCACACCACCCCAUACGUUGCGCAGCUGGAAUGGUACAUGGAUCAUCACACCGCCACUUCUCCUCCGACCCAGUCGCUGCUGUCGUGGCUCAGCGCCAUCACGACGACACCCGCGCUGGGUGUGCAGCACGCGCGGGUUAUCGUUCCCCUUAGCACUAGUGAUGAUGCCGCUGACGGUGAGGACGCGGACGGCGUCGCUGUAACUACUAUGGAGGCUCCCCCGACAACCCGCACGGCGCAGAUGCACUUCAUGCCGAUGCCGGUGCUGAGCACGGAGGAGGUGAAAGCAUGCUGGUGCGCGGCGAGCGAGCAAAAGGCGCAAGAUGGAGCGAGGGCGGCGGGGGUCGGCAUGGACGCACACAUGGUUGCAAACCGCACAUGCGGUGAUGAGUGCGGAUCCGCGUUGGUGGAUGCCAAGCUGCCGGUGGCGCUGAUGCGGCUCGCACCGCUCUGCUGGACCGGCGCCGCGGCCCCGCAGUCCCCGUUACUUCUCAGCCAGGCUCCUUCUCCCUCAGCGCACACCCGGUGUCCUCGUCACAGCCGCGCCACGUCGCGGCGCACACCACCGCCGGCUGCAUCUCUCGCGGCUCUUGCGCAGGAUCUAUGCGCACGUAUUGCACCCGUGCGCCGAGAGCCCACAGCUGCGGCUACGACUACGGCUACGGCGGCUCCAGCAGCAUCCACCGAAACGGACGGGGUAUCGGACACGAGCGCCAAGACGGCCCCGCCGCUCCUGGCGGACGCCGCGGCACCAGCAGGUCAAGUGGAUGUCGCGACAGCAUCUGAAACACCAGCCGACGCUGCUUUGAAAGAAGCCGCUGGCAGCAUCUCAGACGCAGCUGCUACUGUUGCUGCGGGGGAGGAGGAGCGGCAGACGAGACUUACCGCUUGCUCUGAGGCCGAGGCGUCCCAGAUCCUGCACGAGUUGGCCUCCCUGCGUCGUCUGCAGAUCGUCGAGAGCAGCCCUGACACGGUGGAGAUGCUGGAACUACCGGUGGAGACGUACUUGAUGAAGUACGUGCUGCCGAAUCUGACUCCUGUCAUGACGGACGUGGUGCGCAUGCGACCAAACGACCCAGUCUCCACGCUCGCUGACGCCCUCUUCGAGCGUCGCCGCCGCGUGACGCUUUAGUAGGAAGGCGAGUCUACACUGCUGCUGUGGGUGCUUGUGUAUGCUCGCGUGUCUGUGUGCGUGUAUGUGUGUGCCCACAGCUCUGCUGUCGUGCGCAUUUUUGGUGUGGCGCUGCGCUGAGGUUUACCUCCCCUUUUUGUUUCUUUGCCGUUCAUCAUUGUUGUUCUCUGCAUACGUGCACAAGAGAGCCCCAGUCUAUUCGUGCGAGUGUGGCGAACUCUCUCUCCCUCUCUGCGUGUGGUCGUGGCUGCCGGGAAAGUGAGUGCGGGUGUCUCUCUCUAUCUCACGUGUCUUCCUCCCGUAUCGCAGUAACGGGGCGCUUCUCUGACCACCUGCAGGCGGGAGAACAGACACAUCGAUGUAUAUAUACGCGCACAUGCCUUUCGUCUUGAUGUGUACCUUGCCGCCAUCAGUGCCCUAACCCAUCACUUGCGCACCCUUUUCCUUGUGUACCCCAGUCCUUGUGCUGAUAGAUGUACUUGUUCGCUCUUGCGUGUGCGGGUGUGUGCACGCAUCUCUUGCGUUACACUGCAUCGCCCCUCCCUCCCCCAACCACAAAAGUAGGCUGGGGUAACGUG